rnacentral:rRNA from 1 species
UGGGCAACCUGCCCCUAGCUCUGGGAUAACUGCGGGAAACUGUAGCUAAUACCGGAUGUGACACGAGACUGCAUGGUCUUCGUGUGGAAAGAUUUAUCGGCUAGGGAUGGGCCCGCGGUCUAUCAGCUUGUUGGUGGGGUAAUGGCUCACCAAGGCGACGACGGGUAGCCGGCCUGAGAGGGUGACCGGCCACACGUGGGACUGAGACACGGCCCAGACUCCGUACGGGAGG